rnacentral:tRNA from 1 species
GGCAAGAUGGCCGAGCGGUCUAAGGCGCCGCAUUCAAGAAUCGCGGUCUCGCAAGAGGCGGGGGUUCGAAUCCCCCUCUUGUCA